GAUAAACGCUGGCGGCGUGCAUAACACAUGCAAGUCGAACGAAGUGGCGAACGGGUGAGUAACACGUGCGUAACCUGCCUUACACCAGGGGAUAGCCUUUGGAAACGAAGAAUAAUAACCUAUAGUGUAAGAUGGCCUUGCGUCUGAUUAGCUAGUUGGUGAGAUAAAAGCCCACCAAGGUGACGAUCAGUAGCCGGCUUUAGGGAGUGUACGGCCACCUUGGGGCUGAGACACGGCCCAAACUCUACGGGUGGCAGCAGUGGUGAAUUUUGCACAAUGGGGGAAGCCCUGAUGCAGCGACGCCGCGUGAUUUAGAAGGCCUUCGGGUUGUAAAAAUCUUUUUUAUGGGAUGCAGUACCAUAAGAAUAAGGUCCGGCUAAAUACGUGCCAGCAGCCGCGGUAAUAC
rnacentral:rRNA from 1 species